GACGAACGCUGGCGGCGUGCCUAAUACAUGCAAGUAGAACGCAGUUGCGAACGGGUGAGUAACGCGUAGGUAACCUGCCGCAUAGCGGGGGAUAACUAUUGGAAACGAUAGCUAAUACCGCAUACUGUGAGAUGGACCUGCGUUGUAUUAGCGAUUUGGUGAGGUAAAGGCUCACAAAGGCGACGAUACAUAGCCGACCGGAGAGGGUGAUCGGCCACACUGUGACUGAGACACGGCCCAGAAUCCUACGGGAGGCAGCAGUGGGGAAUAUUGCACAAUGGGCGCAAGCCUGAUGCAGCCAUGCCGCGUGUAUGAAGAAGGCCUUCGGGUUGUAAAGUACUUUCAGCGGUGAGGCGUUACCCGCAGAAGAAGCACCGGCUAACUCCGUGCCAGCCGCCGCGGUAAUAC
rnacentral:rRNA from 1 species